rnacentral:rRNA from 1 species
UACGAAGGGGGCUAGCGUUGUUCGGAUUUACUGGGCGUAAAGCGCACGUAGGCGGAUUGUUAAGUCAGGGGUGAAAUCCCGGAGCUCAACUCCGGAACUGCCUUUGAUACUGGCAAUCUUGAGACUGGAAGAGGUUAGUGGAAUUCCCAGUGUAGAGGUGAAAUUCGUAGAUAUUGGGAAGAACACCGGUGGCGAAGGCGGCCAUCUGGACCGCAACUGACGCUGAGGCGCGAAAGCGUGGGGAGCAAACAGG